rnacentral:rRNA from 1 species
AACGUAGGACGCAAGCGUUAUCCGGAGUUACUGGGCGUAAAGCGCGGGCAGGCGGCUCUGUAAGUCUGAUGUGAAAGCGCCCGGCUCAACCGGGCGAGGCCAUUGGAAACUGGAGAGCUGGAGGGCAGUAGAGGCAGGCGGAAUUCCGGGUGGAGUGGUGAAAUGCGUAGAGAUCCGGAGGAACACCAGAGGCGAAGGCGGCCUGCUGGGCUGCACCUGACGCUGAACCGCGAAAGCCAGGGGAGCGAACAGG